UAUUACGUUUUCAUUACGCGCGUCAAAAUGUCCGGUAAUAUGAGACCUCAACGUACAUCUUUUGCAAAACUAUAAAUCACCAACUUAGAGAAGUUGGUGAUUCCUUCCAUCACCCCUAGAAGCGCACAAUUCGAUUCAUUGCUAUCCUAUUUUUAUCGCUGCGAAAUGCACUGUUCGGGUGAAGUAAGUGCAGGAAAUUAUUUCUUUUCUAUAUUCUUUUACAGGAAGAACAUUCCACUUCACUUCACAGCCACCGAUCGUCCCGACAUACUAAAUCUCGUAGUGGACUCUGACACCAGUCAUCCUGACUUCGCCCGAUUUCCGUACACCGACUACGCUACCUGUGGCGUCAUGGAAACUCACUAUUUCGGAUAUCAAUGCACAUUGUGGGUGUCCGACGAAACCAAGGACUCAAUUUCUCAAGAGUGUCUCCGGCAGUACGCCGACAUCUGCGGAGAAAGUGUCUCUCUGUACGACAAAGAGAUGUGCGCGAACAGCGAGCAACAAUAAAUUAUACUGCGACGGCCA